rnacentral:RNase_P_RNA from 1 species
CAAGCAAAACGUUCUAUCGUUCUUUGGAAACAAAGGGAGGAAAGUCCGGGCAACACAGAGCAUCCUGCUUCCUAACGGGAAGGCGCCUUGCAGCGGGCGACAGCCAGUGCCACAGAAAAUAUACCGCCCGGCUUUGCCGGGUAAGGGUGAAAAUGUGAGGUAAGAGCUCACAGCGAGUGCAGGUAACUGCAUUCGCGGUAAACCUCAGGAGUUGAAAAACCAAAUAGGUCCUGAACGUGAAGCUGCUCGCUUCCGUAUGCUGCCUUGGUGGCAUCGUCAGGAUGGGUAGGUUGAUAGAGCCGGUUAGUGAUAGCCGGUCGAGAUUAAUGAUAGAAGCCGCCGAAAGGCGGUACAGAACCCGGCUUACAGCUUUGCUGCUGUA